rnacentral:rRNA from 1 species
AUACGUAGGGGGCGAGCGUUGUCCGGAAUGAUUGGGCGUAAAGGGCGCGUAGGCGGCCCGGUAAGUCUGGAGUGAAAGUCCUGUUUUUAAGAUGGGAAUUGCUUUGGAUACUGCCGGGCUUGAGUGCAGGAGAGGUAAGUGGAAUUCCCAGUGUAGCGGUGAAAUGCGUAGAGAUUGGGAGGAACACCAGUGGCGAAGGCGGCUUACUGGACUGUAACUGACGCUGAGGCGCGAAAGAGUGGGGAGCAAACAGGAUUAGAUACCCUGGUAGUCCACACUGUAAACGAUGAAUGCUAGGUGUAGGGGGUAUCGACCCCUUCUGUGCCGCAGUCAACACAAUAAGCAUUCCGCCUGGGGAGUACGGCCGCAAGGUUGAAACUCAAAGGAAUUGACGGGG